CCCGCACAGUGGCCGCUUCCUGGAACAUUUUCCUGCAUCCGAAACCGCGACUCUCUCCCCAGGGACCGGCUGAUCAAGGCCAGAUGGGAGCAGGGAUGGAGGAGGAGGGGAGCGAGCCAGGCCCUCACCAUCACCCCCUCCCAACCCAUGCACUCCAUGGGGAGCCCCUGCCCUGACACACAAACGCACACAACACAUGCCACAGUAACACGCCCAUGGGCAUUCAUGGUGACACUUCAUGAACCACAAGGGCCAGGUUUUAGAGGGAGACAUGCAAAGUCGUAUAAAUAAUUCCACAAACACCUAGGCAAACCUUCUCUAUCUACAUAGUCGCUUACCCCUCUAAAGUCUCCCCAGGCACUGGGUUUUCCUUGCCAGCUGAGGAGACCUUAAGAAUCCAAGAAUAUGGGGUAGGACAGCAGAGAGACUUUAGCUAAGAGAGGGUAAGGAGACAAACAGGCACACCUAAGACUGCCUGUGCCCUGCCAGAUAACACCUACCACUCCGUUCUGCUUCUGGAUGGCUCUCAAAACCUGGGGACCAGGGUGAAGGAAAUCUGGGAUGCCCGCCCUUGGUGCUGGCCUCAGAGCACUUUCUAGUUGCUUACAAAUUAUUCUUAGAGAAAAAGAAUGGUGUCCAGUGGGCUCAUUCAGCCAGAGGGCAAGAAUAGGCUGCUCCAGGGAGCUCUGGGAACCUGGGGACCUGUGGUCUCACUGGUGACAGCCCACCCUUCACUGCUCCCCCAGAUCCCUUCUAUCUCAGAGGGUAGUGAAAAGAAAAUGUGGGUGUUGUGUCUCCUCUUCUGCCCACUGCCUUUCAAACACAGAGGCCUAAUUCUUUCUUCUUUCUUUCUUUCUUUUUCAGGGAGCUAUUCUUACAUCUGGAAAUCUGGAAUGUUUGUCUUUUGCUGGGAAGGGUACAGAUUUGAACAUGGAUACGAUAUAAGACAGAGCAUUGGAAAAGCUGAAGGUGUACAAUGUAGUGAUUCAACAAUUCCACACAUCACCUGGUGCUCAUUACAGCAAGUACACGUCUUAAUCCCCAUCCCCUGUUUCACCCAUUCCCCCCACCUUCUGGUAACCACGUUUGUUCUCUAUAAUUAAGAGUCUUGUUUUUUGUUGUUUUUUUUUAAUUUGUCUUUCUCUCUUUUGAAACCCUUUGCUCUUUUGUUUUAUUUCUUAAAUUCCACCUAGGAAUGAAAUCCUGUGGUAUUUGUCUUUCUCUGACUUAUUCCACUUAGCAUUACGCUCUCCAGAUCCACCCACGUCCUUGCAAAUGGAUUUUUUUAAGACUUGAUUUUUGUAAGUAAUCUCUAUACCCAAUGUGGGACUUGAACUCAAAACCCUGAGAUCAAGAGAGAUCAAGAGUCGCAUGCUUCACUGACAUGUAUGUGUAUAUAUAUACAUGUAUGUGUGCACCUAUUAUUUUUGUAUUUUUUUUUUAAGUAGGCUCCCUGAGCAAUGUGGGACUUGAACUCACAACCCAAGACCAAGGGUCACAUCUUCUGACUGAGCCAGCCAGGAAUCCCUCAUUGCAAGUAGAUUUUAACAAAGAAUUGGUAUCUAAUGUACAUAAAGAACUUUUUUUUUUUUUAAGAUUUUGUUUAUUUAUUUGACAGACGGAGAUCACAAGCAGGCAGAGAGAGAGAGAGAGAGGAGGAAGCAGGCUCCCUGCUAAGUAGAGAGCCCGACUCGGGGCUCGAUCCCAGGACACUGGGAUCAUGACCUGAGCUGAAGGCAGAGGCUUUAACCCACUGAGCCACCCAGGCACCCCCAUAAAGAACUUCUUUAAGUCAAACAUUUCAGUAGAAAAAUGGACAAAGCAAAUAAAAGGAGAGAAAAAAAUACAAAUGGACAAUAACAGAAGAGAUAAUUGUCCUUAUAAAUUUUGGUAAAUCAGGAAAAAACAAAUAGAUUAUGGAAGUACCGGACUCACAAUUUUUAAAAUUGGUGAGAAUUUGGGAAACAAUCACUUUCACAGUGCAGGUAUGAAUGUAACUGGAAAUAUUUGAGGGAGUUUUUUUUUUUUNNNNNNNNNNNNNNNNNNNNNNNNNNNNNNNNNNNNNNNNNNNNNNNNNNNNNN
ensembl:lincRNA